rnacentral:rRNA from 1 species
GACGAACGCUGGCGGCGUGCUUAACACAUGCAAGUCGAACGGAAAGGCCCUGCUUGCAGGGUACUCGAGUGGCGAACGGGUGAGUAACACGUGGGUGAUCUGCCCUGCACUUCGGGAUAAGCCUGGGAAACUGGGUCUAAUACCGGAUAGGAGCCAUUUUUAGUGUGAUGGUUGGAAAGUUUUUUUGGUGUAGGAUGGGCUCGCGGCCUAUCAGCUUGUUGGUGGGGUAAUGGCCUACCAAGGCGGCGACGGGUAGCCGGCCUGAGAGGGUGGACGGCCACAUUGGGACUGGGAUACGGCCCAGACUCCUACGGGAGGCAGCAGUGGGGAAUAUUGCACAAUGGGCGCAAGGCUGAUGCAGCGACGCCGCGUGGGGGAUGACGGCCUUCGGGUUGUAAACUCCUUUCGCUAGGGACGAAGCUUUUUGUGACGGUACCUAGAUAAGAAGCACCGGCUAACUACGUG